rnacentral:rRNA from 1 species
AUCAACGCUGGCGGCGUGCCUAAACACAUGCAAGUCGAACGAGAAAGUUGGAGCAAUCCAUGAGUAAAGUGGCGCACGGGUGAGUAACACGUGACUACACCUACCCUCGAGUGGGGGAAUAACCUCGGGAAACCGGGGCUAAUACCGCAUAAACAUCUACGGAUCAAAUGGCCGUAAGCAGCUUGAGGAGGGGGUCGCGGCCGAUUAGCUAGUUGGCGGGGUAUGGCCCACCAUAGGCAAUGAUCGGUAGCCGGCCCUGAGAGGGCGCACGGCCACACUGGAACUGAAACACGGGUCCAGACUCCUACGGAGGCAGCAGUGGGGAAGUUUUGCGCAAUGGGGGAAACCUGACGCAGCAACGCCGCGUGCGAGGAUGAAGCCCUUUGGGGUGUAAACUUCCUUUCGAUCGGGACGAUUAUGACGGUAACCGGAUGAAGAAAGCACCGGCUAACAUCUGUGCCAGCAGCCGCGGUAAUACAGAGGGUGCAAGCGUUGUUUCGGGAGUUAUUUGGGCGUAAAGGGUGCGUAGGCGGUGCGGUAAAGUUUCCUUGUGAAAUCUCCGGGCUCACUCGGAGCCUCAAGGAAAACUGCCGUGCUUGAGUAUGGGAGAGGUGAGUGUGGAAUUCCCGGUGUAGCGGUGAAAUGCGUAGAUAUCGGGAGGAACACCUGUGCGAAAGCGGCUCACUGGACCAUAACUGACGCUGAUGCCGAAAGCUAAGGGAGCAAACAGGAUUAGAUACCCUGGUAGUCCUAGCCACAAACUAUGAUCGCUUGGUGUGACAGGUACCCAAUCCUGUUCGUUGCCGGAGCUAAACGCGUUAAGCGAUCCCCGCCUGGGAGUACGGUCGCAAAAGGCUGAAACUCAAAGGAAUUGACGGGGGGCCCGCACAAGCGGUGGAGCAUGUGGUUCAAUUCGACGCACGCGAAGAACCUUACCUGGGCUCGAAGCGCAGUGGACUGAGGUAGAAAUAUCUUUUUCCCGCAAGGGAACUGCUGCGUAGGUGCUGCAUGGCUGUCGUCAGCUCGUGUCGUGAGAUGUUUGGGUUUAAGUCCCGCAACGAGCGCAACCCUUAUUGCCAGUUGCCAUCCUUCAGUUUGGGCCUCUGGCGAAACCGCCCCCGGAUAACGGGGAGGAAGGUGGGGAUGACGUCAAGUCCCUCAUGGCCUUUAUUGCCAACAGGGGGCUACCAACAGUUGCUACAAUGGUUGUACAAACCGUCCGCAAAACCCGCGAGGGGAGCUAAUCGGAAAAGCCAAUCCCAGUCCGGAUUGGAGUCUGCAACUCGACUCCAUGAAGCUGGAAUCGUAGUAAUCGCAGAAUCAGCACGCUGCGGUGGAAUACGUUUCCCGGGCCCUUGUACAUACACCCGCCCGUCACAUCACGAAAGUGGGCUGUACUAGAAGCCGGUGCGCUGACCCGCAAGGGAGGCAGCCGGUCCAAGGUAUAACUCUGAUAGGGGGUG